UGUUUGUGUGAAUACUGUGACACUAUCUCAGUGAAAUAACAACAAAGAAUAUAAGGACACUUUUGCAGGUGUCAGGGGUGUCCAGCUGAAAAAAUUCCUGAAUGGGGCCAUGGGAUGUCCUACGCUGAAGCCCUCCUGCUCCUCCCUGCGGACCCAGUCUGGGACGCAGCUGGACACAGCACGGUCCUCUCAUUGCCUACAGCCGUUCAACACCGCUUCACUGACUCUGGGCUUGG